GCCUGCUCAAUGAAUUUUAAAUGGCCGCAGUAUAAUGACUGUGCUAAGGUAGCAUAAUAAUUUGCCUUUUAAUUGGGGGCUGGAAUGAAAGGUUUUAUGGGAAAUAGCUGUUUUAAAAGGAAAAAAUUGAAUUUAAGCCCUUCAUAAAAACUUGAAGGGGGGCUCAAGGGACGAGAAGACCCCGUGGAUUUUUAUUUGCUAGAAAGUAAAUUUUAUAAUAUUUUAUUUUUUAACCAAAUUUGGUUGGGACGAUAGUAAAAUUAACUUUAUUUAAAAGAUGAUUAGACCCUUUUUAAGGAAUAAAGAACAAAUUACCCCGGGGAUAACAGCGUAAUACUUUUGGACAGGACAAAUGGAUAAAAGUGUUUGCGACCUCGAUGUUGAAUUAAAAUACCUUUAUUAAGCAUAAAUAAUAAAAGUAAGUCU
rnacentral:rRNA from 1 species